AUUGAACGCUGGCGGCAGGCCUAACACAUGCAAGUCGAGCGGAGCGGCGGACGGGUGAGUAAUGCCUAGGAAUCUGCCUGGUAGUGGGGGAUAAGGUCAGGAAACGGGCGAUAAUACCGCAUACUAUCAGAUGAGCCUAGGUCGGCUUAGCUAGUUGGUGGGGGAAAGGCCUACCAAGGCGACGAACCGUAACUGGUCCGAGAGGAUGAUCAGUCAAACUGGAACUGAGACACGGUCCAGACUCCUACGGGAGGCAGCAGUGGGGAAUAUUGGACAAUGGGCGAAAGCCUGAUCCAGCCAUGCCGCGUGUGUGAAGAAGGUCUUCGGAUUGUAAAGCACUUUAAGUUGGGAGGCGUUACCAACAGAAUAAGCACCGGCUAACUCCGUGCCAGCAGCCGCGGUAAUUC
rnacentral:rRNA from 1 species